CGUUCCCGGGCUUGUACACACCGCCCGUNAAGUCAUGAAAGUCGGUAACACCCGAAGCCGGUGGCCCAACCCUUGUGGAGGGAGCCGUCGAAGGUGGGACUGGCGAUUAGGACU
rnacentral:rRNA from 1 species